rnacentral:rRNA from 1 species
UACGUAGGGUGCGAGCGUUAAUCGGAAUUACUGGGCGUAAAGCGUGCGCAGGCGGUUCGUUAAGUUCGUUGUGAAAGCCCCGGGCUCAACCUGGGAACUGCAAUGGAAACUGGCGGGCUUGAAUGCGGCAGAGGGGGGUGGAAUUCCGCGUGUAGCAGUGAAAUGCGUAGAGAUGCAGAGGAACACCGAUGGCGAAGGCAGCCCCCUGGGCUAACACUGACGCUCAGGCACGAAAGCGUGGGGAGCAAACAGG